GCAAACUGAGGCAGAGGAAAUGGAGCUUCAGCCAGGCAGCAUGCUUAACACUGGAGACAACAGAGGACCCCCACCCGGUGAGAAAACUGUUGCAGGAAGUCAGAUGAAUCCACAGCUGAGACACAGGAAACGGUGACAAAAGAAGCAUCCUGUUGUCCAUAUAAGCGAGAACGCUACAGCAUCUUUGAAGCCUCCAAAACCAGUUUUGAUGUGAAUAGGAUCAAUGUUCUUCUGGGACACCCAAAUGUGUUUACGUUUCAACAAUCUAGCUGUUGGUUUGAGGUGACAUGAAGAAUUUUGAGGUUGUCCUCCUCUUUCAUUAUUCCAUCCACCUUGAAUGUACCAGUGCCACCGGCAGCAAAUGGCCCUCCAUGGAUCAGACUUGUUUACACAGUACAUCCCACAGAUGCUCACUUGGAUUUAGAUCUGGGGAAUUUAGACGCCAAGUCAACUUCUCAAAGUCAUUAUUGUGCUCCUUUUUAUGAUCCAGUUGUGCCCAUUGUUGGGACAGGGGUCAGCAUGGGCUACAUAGACACUGGUCUGUGGCUAUGUAGCCCUAUACACGACAAACUACGAUACACUAUGUAUUCUGACAUCAUCAGAACCAGCUUUAACUUUUACAGAAAUUUGCUACGUUAGCUUGUCUCUAGAAUUAGACCAAAUGGGUCAGCCUUCACUCUUCGUGUGCAUCAGUGAACUCUGGCUCCCCGUGAUGCUGGUUCACCAUUGUUCCUUCCUUGGACCACUUUUGAUAGAUACUGACCUCUGCGGACUGGGAACACCCCGCAAGAGCUUCAGGUUUGAAGAUGCUCUGACAAACGGCUCAUUUUCCCUGCUUCUGAUACAUCAAUGUUGAGGACUAAUUUCACUUGCCCCCCAAUAAAUCCCGCCAUGAUGCACAAAUACUGAGUGUUAUUUACGCUACCUUUUAGUGGUCAUAAUGUUAUGCCUGAUCAUCGGAUGUUCUUCUGUUAUACUCUGCACAUACCAGGGAACAAACGGGCCCCGCCUCCACCACUAGCCCACUGUUCUGAUAUUUAUCUGACUGUUCACUAUUGACCGCCCCUGAUGCUCCACUUUCUUUCUUUCUCUGUCAGACGCCACUGACCUUUGUUGCAUAAAACAGUACACCCAGCAGGAGGUCUCCCUGGUGAAUACAGUAGGUCUCAACCUGCUGAUUAACAAAGCAGGGGUUCUGGCCAAAGGCCCCCUGCAGGGUGGCAGGCCAGAGAACAUGCAGACUAAAGUCCACAAUAAUGUUGAGCAUUAAAGUUGCACUUCCCCUUUAGAAGAAGAUCUAAAAUCGCAUGCAUCAUCAUCCCUACCAUUUCUUUUUGCAGCAUAAAGGAGAUGACAAAAGAGCCUUUUCAGUGUUGCAACCUGGCUGGCUUCAACAGUUCCAUGUGUGGAGAAGAGGAGAUCAAAUUUCCAGUUACAUCUUGUAUAAAGGAUACAGUGAAACAAUAUAGA